rnacentral:lncRNA from 1 species
GAUUGGCGACUUAGUCAUUUAGGGGCGUUUGGAUUAACGAAUCUGUAAAUCCAACGUAAGUUAAGUAUAGUGGUAUUUGAGUUUUUCUGAAGUGUAAUUAUUUUUUUGUUGUUUGUUUUGACGUAACUCGUAUAAUCUGAAAGUUAAAUUCAAUUACUUUUUCUGUUUAUUUUCAUAUGUAACUUGGUGCUGGUAAAAUUAGUUUUUUUAGUUCUGUUGUUUAUUUUGAUGUAAGUAAGUGGAUCCCAUUAUUUUUUAAAUAUAGUAAUAAAUUUACCAUUAUAAAAUUUAACCUAUUAUAUAAUUAAAUUUUUUAUUAUUAUUUAAAGGUAAUGCUAAUUUAUUAUAAAUAAAAUAAUUCUAAUAUAUUAUAAAGGAAGUAGAGUUUAGGUUUUAUGUUUAAUAAAUUUUUUAAAAAAUGUUGAGUGUGGUGGAAGUCGAGUUCGGCACUUUAGAGGAGAAAGUCGAGAGUAGGUGAAGUGGAGCCUUAACGUAACUUGAGUUGCAUUAUAUUUUUCACUUACACCAAAAAUAACAGAAGUGGUGGAAUUUGAGUUCCAUCACU